rnacentral:rRNA from 1 species
UACGUAGGAAGCAAGCGUUGUCCGGAAUUACUGGGCGUAAAGCGCGUGUAGGCGGAUAGGCAAGUCUGCUGUGAAAGCUCUCGGCUUAACCGGGAGAGGUCGGUGGAAACUGCCUGACUAGAGGACGGUAGAGGGGGGUGGAAUUCCCGGUGUAGUGGUGAAAUGCGUAGAGAUCCGGAGGAACACCAGAGGCGAAGGCGGCCUACUGGGCUGCACCUGACGCUGAGCCGCGAAAGCCAGGGGAGCGAACGGG